GAUGAACGCUGGCGGCGUGCCUAAUACAUGCAAGUCGAACGCGCAGCGAGGGGUGCUUGCACCUUUCAAGCGAGUGGCGAACGGGUGAGUAACACGUGGAUAACCUGCCUCAAGGCUGGGGAUAACAUUUGGAAACAGAUGCUAAUACCGAAUAAAACUUAGUAUCGCAUGAUAUCAAGUUAAAAGGCGCUACGGCGUCACCUAGAGAUGGAUCCGCGGUGCAUUAGUUAGUUGGUGGGGUAAAGGCUUACCAAGACGAUGAUGCAUAGCCGAGUUGAGAGACUGAUCGGCCACAUUGGGACUGAGACACGGCCCAAACUCCUACGGGAGGCUGCAGUAGGGAAUCUUCCACAAUGGGCGCAAGCCUGAUGGAGCAACGCCGCGUGUGUGAUGAAGGCUUUCGGGUCGUAAAGCACUGUUGUAUGGGAAGAAAUGCUAAAAUAGGGAAUGAUUUUAGUUUGACGGUACCAUACCAGAAAGGGACGGCUAAAUACGUGCCAGCAGCCGCGGUAA
rnacentral:rRNA from 1 species